AUUGAACGCUGGCGGCAGGCCUAACACAUGCAAGUCGAACGGUAACAGGAAGAAGCUUGCUUCUUUGCUGACGAGUGGCGGACGGGUGAGUAAUGUCUGGGAAACUGCCUGAUGGAGGGGGAUAACUACUGGAAACGGUAGCUAAUACCGCAUAACGUCGCAAGACCAAAGAGGGGGACCUUCGGGCCUCUUGCCAUCGGAUGUGCCCAGAUGGGAUUAGCUAGUUGGUGGGGUAACGGCUCACCAAGGCGACGAUCCCUAGCUGGGCUGGGAUGAUGACCAGACACACUGGAACGUAGACACGGCCCAGACUCCUACGGGCGGCAGCAGUGGGGAAUCUUGCACAAUGGGCGCAAGCCUGAUGCAGCCAUGCCGCGUGUAUGAAGAAGGCCUUCGGGUUGUAAAGUACUUUCAGCGGGGAGGAAGGGAGUAAAGUUAAUACCUCUGCUCAUUGACGUUACCCGCAGAAGAAGCACCGGCUAACUCCGUGCCAGCAGCCGCCGUAA
rnacentral:rRNA from 1 species